UCUCCCUUCAGCCCUCCCAUCAAAGCCACGCCUUCAAAACACAUGAACGCGCAUGCAGUCUGUCAAGUGUUCGGAUUAUCCCGGGAACCCACGAGAGCUCACGAGGCGGGGGCGGGCUAGAAGCCUCGACAAAUCGAUUAGCCAAGCUAACUUCCAGCCAUGGCACUGUCUCCGGCUAAGACCUUCCACGACCACGAGAGCUCCAGCUCUGACUUUCCUGGCCCAUCACACGACCUAACAGCCCAGUAGGACCGAUGGCCAGAGAUGGAGGAGGAGGAAGAUAGACGCAGCAGAGGUCGGGGGUAUUGAUUAGGGAGACUCCAACAGAAUUGACGCCCUGCUAACUGCCUUGAUUCAAUCAUUGAAUUUGAAGCAAUCCCAUCGGUUACUGCAGCGUGCCCUGACCCGUGACCCCAGUUUGAUGUUCGACCUGGCACAUGACAUCUGGUCCUCAGUCACAGCCCAGUAGCACAACCAACCUGGCGCCUCUGCGCAAUCUGUAAGGAGAUGCCCAUGAACAUUGAAAGGAAAUGCUGUGGUGUUCUCAGUUUUGAUGGAAGACUUUGGGCUGA